rnacentral:rRNA from 1 species
ACUCGAGUGGCGGACGGGUGAGUAACACGUGGGUGAUCUGCCCUGCACUUCGGGAUAAGCCUGGGAAACUGGGUCUAAUACCGGAUAGGAGCCAUUUUUAGUGUGAUGGUUGGAAAGUUUUUCGGUGUAGGAUGAGCUCGCGGCCUAUCAGCUUGUUGGUGGGGUAAUGGCCUACCAAGGCGGCGACGGGUAGCCGGCCUGAGAGGGUGAUCGGCCACAUUGGGACUGAGAUACGGCCCAG